CGCAGACUCAUAGAACUAUGGAACCACAUCUGUAAGCCUCCCAACAGCUCUGUGAGAUGGAUACUGCACAUCCCUUUUACAAGUAAGGAAACUGAUUCCUAAAGCUGACUUGCUUACAGUCAUGCAGAUAUUAAAGAUAAGGAAACUAAGAUUCAGGGUGAAGAAGCAAUUUGCCUG